rnacentral:misc_RNA from 1 species
AACACUGUUAACCUGCGGUACCUGCGGAGGGAUCAUUACCGAGUGUUAGGGCCCUCUGGGCCCGACCUCCCACCCUUGUCUAUCGUACCUUGUUGCUUCGGCGGGCCCGCCAUUCGUGGCCGCCGGGGGGCAUCUGCCCCCGGGCCCGCGCCCGCCGGAGACACCAUAACGAACACUGUCUGAAGUUUGCAGUCUGAGUUGAUUUAUUCAAUCAUUAAAACUUUUAACAAUGGAUCUCAG